GUUAUUAUAUAGUUUAUAUGUAUGUGUGUGUGGCCAAUCAAAACUCAAUUGCAUGUGUAUGAUUGUAUGUACUUUUAUAAUCAAUUGAAAUAUUUGCGUGUCAUAUUAGUUUGAUGUACGUUUAUAUAGAACACUUUUUUUUCCACAUUUAGGCUUUAGUACCCCCCCCCCUCCGCUUUUUUUAAGGAGAAUAACUUUUGACUGUCAAGCCAAUUAGUAAAUUCUCUAAGCUGGCUUUAUUUUCUAUAGAAAGUAACAUUAGUAGUUGUGGAACGCCAUGGCUCCGUUAAAGAAUCGUCGUUAUAUUUCUUCAAAAGAAAUAACUAAAAAUAUGACUUUAUAUACAAAUGGUUCAUUUAAAAGUGAAGUGGAUAGAAAUACAUUAGAGUAAGUUCAA